GAUGAAGAACGCAGCAAAAUGCGAUAAGUAGUGUGAAUUGCAGAAUUCAGUGAAUCAUCGAAUCUUUGAACGCACAUUGCGCCCCUUGGUAUCCCGAGGGGCAUGCCUGUUCGAGCGUCAUUUCACCACUCAAGCCUGGCUUGGUGUUGGGCGACGUCCCCUUUAGGGACGCGCCUCGAAACGCUCGGCGGCGUGGCACCGGCUUUAAGCGUAGCAGAAUCUUUCGCUUUGGAAGUCGGGGCCCCGCCUGCCGGAAUACCUACUCGUAAGGUUGACCUCGGAUCAGGCAGGGAUACCCGCUGAACUUAAGCAUAUCAAUAAGCGGAGGA
rnacentral:misc_RNA from 1 species